rnacentral:rRNA from 1 species
AUUGAACGCUGGCGGCAGGCCUAACACAUGCAAGUCGAACGCGUGGCGGACGGGUGAGUAAUGUCUGGGACACUGCCUGAUGGAGGGGGAUAACUACUGGAAACGGUAGCUAAUACCGCCAACCAUUAGCUGUGCCCAGAUGGGAUUAGCUUGUUGGUGGGGUAAAGGCUCACCAAGGCCACGAUCCCUAGCUGGUCCGCGAGGAUGACCAGCCAUACUGGAACUGAGACACGGUCCAGACUCCUACGGGAGGCAGCAGUGGGGAAUAUUGCACAAUGGGCGCAAGCCUGAUGCAGCCAUGCCGCGUGUAUGAAGAAGGCCUUCGGGUUGUAAAGUACUUUCAGCGGGGAGGCGUUACCCGCAGAAGAAGCACCGGCUAACUCCGUGCCAGCAGCCGCGGUAAUUC